rnacentral:rRNA from 1 species
CAUGGGAUAAUGGAAUAGGACCCUGUCCUCCUAUUUUCAGUUGGUUUUGGCAGCGCGAGGACUAGGGUAAUGAUUAAUAGGGAUAGUUGGGGGCAUUAAUAUUUAAUUGUCAGAGGUGAAAUUCUUGGAUUUAUGAAAGAUUAACUUCUGCGAAAGCAUCUGCCAAGGAUGUUUUCAUUAAUCAAGAACGAAAGUUAGGGGAUCGAAGACGAUCAGAUACCGUCGUAGUCUUAACCAUAAACGAUGCCGACCAGCGAUUAGGAGACGUUGAAUACAAAACACCACCAUCGGCGCGGUCGUCCUUGGCGUGUCUCGGCUUCACGGCUGGGGCGCGCGAGGGCGGUUUAGCCCGGUGGCACCGG